CCGGAAUUAUUGGGCGUAAAGAGCUCGUAGGUGGUUCGUUACGUCGGAUGUGAAAAUCUGGGGCUCAACCCCAGACCUGCAUUCGAUACGGGCGAGCUAGAGUUUGGUAGGGGAGACUGGAAUUCCUGGUGUAGCGGUGGAAUGCGCAGAUAUCAGGAGGAACACCAAUGGCGAAGGCAGGUCUCUGGGCCAAUACUGACACUGAGGAACGAAAGCGUGGGGAGCGAACAGGAUUAGAUACCCCGGUAGUCCACGCCGUAAACGGUGGGCACUAGUUGUGGGAACCUUCCACGGUUUCUGCGACGCAGCUAACGCAUUAAGUGCCCCGCCUGGGGAGUACGAUCGCAAGAUUAAAACUCAAAGGAAUUGACGGGGCCCCGCACAAGCAGCGGAGCAUGCGGCUUAAUUCGACGCAACGCGAAGAACCUUACCAAGGCUUGACAUAUACAGGAAUAUGGCAGAAAUUCCAUAGCCGCAAGGUCUGUAUACAGGUGGUGCAUGGUUGUCGUCAGCUCGUGUCGUGAGAUGUUGGGUUAAGUCCCGCAACGAGCGCAACCCUCGUUCUGUGUUGCCAGCAUUUAGUUGGGGACUCACAGGAGACUGCCGGGGUUAACUCGGAGGAAGGUGGGGAUGACGUCAAAUCAUCAUGCCCCUUAUGUCUUGGGCUGCACGCAUGCUACAAUGGCUGGUACAAACGGCUGCGAUACCGCAAGGUGGAGCGAAUCCGAUGAAGCCAGUCUCAGUUCGGAUUGGGGUCUGCAACUCGACCCCAUGAAGUCGGAGUUGCU
rnacentral:rRNA from 1 species